GGGUUGUGAGGUUAAGCGACUAAGCGUACACGGUGGAUGCCCUGGCAGUCAGAGGCGAUGAAGGGCGUGCUAAUCUGCGAUAAGCGCCGGUAAGGUGAUAUGAACCGUUAUAACCGGCGAUACCCGAAUGGGGAAACCCAGUGUGAUUCGUCACACUAUCAUUAACUGAAUCCAUAGGUUAAUGAGGCGAACCGGGGGAACUGAAACAUCUAAGUACCCCGAGGAAAAGAAAUCAACCGAGAUUCCCCCAGUAGCGGCGAGCGAACGGGGAGGAGCCCAGAGCCUGAAUCAGCAUGUGUGUUAGUGGAAGCGUCUGGAAAGGCGCGCGAUACAGGGUGACAGCCCCGUACACAAAAGCGCAUGUGCUGUGAGCUCGAUGAGUAGGGCGGGACACGUGGUAUCCUGUCUGAAUAUGGGGACCAUCCUCCAAGGCUAAAUACUCCUGACUGACCGAUAGUGAACCAGUACCGUGAGGGAAAGGCGAAAAGAACCCCGGCGAGGGAGUGAAAAGAACCUGAAACCGUGUACGUACAAGCAGUGGGAGCACAGGUUUACCUGUGUGACUGCGUACCUUUUGUAUAAUGGGUCAGCGACUUAUAUUCUGUAGCAAGGUUAACCGAAUAGGGGAGCCGGAGGGAAACCGAGUCUUAAUUGGGCGUUAAGUUGCAGGGUAUAGACCCGAAACCCGGUGAUCUAGCCAUGGGCAGGUUGAAGGUUGGGUAACACUAACUGGAGGACCGAACCGACUAAUGUUGAAAAAUUAGCGGAUGACCUGUGGCUGGGGGUGAAAGGCCAAUCAAACCGGGAGAUAGCUGGUUCUCCCCGAAAGCUAUUUAGGUAGCGCCUCGUGAAUUCAUCUCCGGGGGUAGAGCACUGUUUCGGCUAGGGGGCCAUCCCGGCUUACCAACCCGAUGCAAACUGCGAAUACCGGAGAAUGUUAUCACGGGAGACACACGGCGGGUGCUAACGUCCGUCGUGAAGAGGGAAACAACCCAGACCGCCAGCUAAGGUCCCAAAGUCAUGGUUAAGUGGGAAACGAUGUGGGAAGGCCCAGACAGCCGUGAUGUUGGCUUAGAAGCAGCCAUCAUUUAAAGAAAGCGUAAUAGCUCACUGGUCGAGUCGGCCUGCGCGGAAGAUGUAACGGGGCUAAACCAUGCACCGAAGCUGCGGCAGCGAACGUAUCACCCAAGACAACUUUACGGAGUUGACGAUUGACGGAGCGAAGCGACGUCAAAGCGUUCAUUAAAGUCGAGUUGGCUUAGGGAUACGUUCGUUGGGUAGGGGAGCGUUCUGUAAGCCUGUGAAGGUGUGUCGUGAGGCAUGCUGGAGGUAUCAGAAGUGCGAAUGCUGACAUAAGUAACGAUAAAGCGGGUGAAAAGCCCGCUCGCCGGAAGACCAAGGGUUCCUGUCCAACGUUAAUCGGGGCAGGGUGAGUCGACCCCUAAGGCGAGGCCGAAAGGCGUAGUCGAUGGGAAACGGGUUAAUAUUCCCGUACUUGGUGUUACUGCGAAGGGGGGACGGAGAAGGCUAUGUUGGCCGGGCGACGGUUGUCCCGGUUUAAGCGUGUAGGUGUGUGUUCCGUAAAUCCGGUUCACUUUAACACUGAGGCGUGACGACGAGGCACUACGGUGCUGAAGCAACAAAUGCCCUGCUUCCGUGAAAAGCCUCUAAGCAUCAGGUAACACGAAAUCGUACCCCAAACCGACACAGGUGGUCAGGUAGAGAAUACCAAGGCGCUUGAGAGAACUCGGGUGAAGGAACUAGGCAAAAUGGUGCCGUAACUUCGGGAGAAGGCACGCUGACACGUAGGUGAAGUGAUUUACUCAUGGAGCUGAAGUCAGUCGAAGAUACCAGCUGGCUGCAACUGUUUAUUAAAAACACAGCACUGUGCAAACACGAAAGUGGACGUAUACGGUGUGACGCCUGCCCGGUGCCGGAAGGUUAAUUGAUGGGGUCAGCGUAAGCGAAGCUCCUGAUCGAAGCCCCGGUAAACGGCGGCCGUAACUAUAACGGUCCUAAGGUAGCGAAAUUCCUUGUCGGGUAAGUUCCGACCUGCACGAAUGGCGUAAUGAUGGCCAGGCUGUCUCCACCCGAGACUCAGUGAAAUUGAACUCGCUGUGAAGAUGCAGUGUACCCGCGGCAAGACGGAAAGACCCCGUGAACCUUUACUAUAGCUUGACACUGAACAUUGAGCCUUGAUGUGUAGGAUAGGUGGGAGGCUUUGAAGUGUGGACGCCAGUCUGCAUGGAGCCGACCUUGAAAUACCACCCUUUAAUGUUUGAUGUUCUAACGUGGACCCGUAAUCCGGGUUGCGGACAGUGUCUGGUGGGUAGUUUGACUGGGGCGGUCUCCUCCUAAAGAGUAACGGAGGAGCACGAAGGUUGGCUAAUCUGGUCGGACAUCAGGAGGUUAGUGCAAUGGCAUAAGCCAGCUUGACUGCGAGCGUGACGGCGCGAGCAGGUGCGAAAGCAGGUCAUAGUGAUCCGGUGGUUCUGAAUGGAAGGGCCAUCGCUCAACGGAUAAAAGGUACUCCGGGGAUAACAGGCUGAUACCGCCCAAGAGUUCAUAUCGACGGCGGUGUUUGGCACCUCGAUGUCGGCUCAUCACAUCCUGGGGCUGAAGUAGGUCCCAAGGGUAUGGCUGUUCGCCAUUUAAAGUGGUACGCGAGCUGGGUUUAGAACGUCGUGAGACAGUUCGGUCCCUAUCUGCCGUGGGCGCUGGAGAACUGAGGGGGGCUGCUCCUAGUACGAGAGGACCGGAGUGGACGCAUCACUGGUGUUCGGGUUGUCAUGCCAAUGGCACUGCCCGGUAGCUAAAUGCGGAAGAGAUAAGUGCUGAAAGCAUCUAAGCACGAAACUUGCCCCGAGAUGAGUUCUCCCUGAGACUUAGAGUCUCCUGAAGGAACGUUGAAGACGACGACGUUGAUAGGCCGGGUGUGUAAGCGCAGCGAUGCGUUGAGCUAACCGGUACUAAUGAACCGUGAGGCUUAACCUUACAACGCCGAAG
rnacentral:rRNA from 1 species